rnacentral:rRNA from 1 species
UACGUAGGGGGCAAGCGUUGUCCGGAUUUAUUGGGCGUAAAGAGCGUGUAGGUGGCUUGGCAAGUCUGCUGUGAAAACUCGAGGCUCAACCUCGAGCUGUCGGCGGAAACUGCUUGGCUAGAGUCCGGAAGAGGAGAGUGGAAUUCCUGGUGUGGCGGUGAAAUGCGCAGAUAUCAGGAAGAACACCUAUGGCGAAAGCAGCUCUCUGGGACGGUACUGACGCUGAGACGCGAAAGCGUGGGGAGCGAACAGG